rnacentral:rRNA from 1 species
UUAGGUCAAGGUGCAGUAUAAAAAAGAUUAUUAUGGAUUACUUUAAGAAAUAUGAAUGAAUUUAAUUUAUAUUAAAUUAAUGAAAUAGGAUUUAAUAGUAAAUUUAUUAAAGUUUUAUAAUGAAUAGAGWUUUUAAAAUAUGUACAUAUUGCCCGUCGCUCUUAUUUAAAUUAAGAUAAGUCGUAACAUAGUAAAUGUACCGGAAGGUGUAUUUAGAACUAUAAGUAAAUAGUUUAAUUAAAACUUAUUUGUUACACUAAUAGAAUAUUUAAUAAUUUUACUUUAAAAGGAGUAUAUUAUUUUAAUUUAUAUUGUAAAAGAAAGGGGAAUCUUUUACUUUAUUUUAUUAAAAAAUUAAUAUUGUACCUUUUGUAUCAGGGUUAAUUUAAAUUUAUUUUGUAAAAAAUUUUCUUGAAAAAAAAAGAUUUAAAGUUAAAAUUAUUUUAUUGUAAAAUAAAUAAUUAAAAUUUAAUUUUAGUACUGAUAAAGUAAUACMUUUUUUAUUUCUAGUUACUUUUAUUUUAAUAUAAUUAAWUUUUUUUCUUUAUUAUUGAAUUUUAUUGAAUAAUUUUAGGGAUAAUYUUAAAUUUAUAGUAAUAGUURUAUUUAAWUUAUGAUAAAUAAAAUUAAYGKUAUUCUUUAGUUAAUMUUAUCGUUAAUCMUUAAAWUUUUUUU